GAUGAACGCUGGCGGCGUGCCUAAUACAUGCAAGUCGAGCGAACGGACGAGAAGCUUGCUUCUCUGAUGUUAGCGGCGGACGGGUGAGUAACACGUGGAUAACCUACCUAUAAGACUGGGAUAACUUCGGGAAACCGGAGCUAAUACCGGAUGAUAUUUUGAACCGCAUGGUUCAAAAGUGAAAGACGGUCUUGCUGUCACUUAUAGAUGGAUCCGCGCUGCAUUAGCUAGUUGGUAAGGUAACGGCUUACCAAGGCAACGAUGCAUAGCCGACCUGAGAGGGUGAUCGGCCACACUGGAACUGAGACACGGUCCAGACUCCUACGGGAGGCAGCAGUAGGGAAUCUUCCGCAAUGGGCGAAAGCCUGACGGAGCAACGCCGCGUGAGUGAUGAAGGUCUUCGGAUCGUAAAACUCUGUGAUUAGGGAAGAACAGAUGUGUAAGUAACUGUGCACAGCUUGACGGUACCUAAUCAGAAAGCCACGGCUAACUACGUG
rnacentral:rRNA from 1 species